AGUUACUAGUAAUCGCAGAUCAGAAUGCUGCGGUGAAUGCGUUCCCGGGUCUUGUACACACCGCCCGUCACACCACGGAAGUUGGGGGCGCCCGAAGCCACUUAGCUAACCCUUUUGGGAAGCGAGUGUCGAAGGUGAAAUCAAUAACUGGGGUGAAGUCGUAACAAGGUAUC
rnacentral:rRNA from 1 species